GAUGAACGCUGGCGGCGUGCCUAAUACAUGCAAGUCGAGCGAACAGACGAGGAGCUUGCUCCUCUGACGUUAGCAGCGGACGGGUGAGUAACACGUGGAUAACCUACCUAUAAGACUGGGAUAACUUCGGGAAACCGGAGCUAAUACCGGAUAAUAUAUUGAACCGCAUGGUUCAAUAGUGAAAGACGGUUUUGCUGUCACUUAUAGAUGGAUCCGCGCCGCAUUAGCUAGUUGGUAAGGUAACGGCUUACCAAGGCAACGAUGCGUAGCCGACCUGAGAGGGUGAUCGGCCACACUGGAACUGAGACACGGUCCAGACUCCUACGGGAGGCAGCAGUAGGGAAUCUUCCGCAAUGGGCGAAAGCCUGACGGAGCAACGCCGCGUGAGUGAUGAAGGUCUUCGGAUCGUAAAACUCUGUUAUUAGGGAAGAACAAAUGUGUAAGUAACUAUGCACGUCUUGACGGUACCUAAUCAGAAAGCCACGGCCAACUACGU
rnacentral:rRNA from 1 species